rnacentral:lncRNA from 1 species
GUUGUACCUUCCAUCGAUGUUCGUGUCUCUAGUGGCUCUACCUUUCGCCAUGUUUGUCACUCCAAGUUUGGAUAGUGUGUUCUUUAUAUGUUAUGUGUUUUGGAAGGUUGUUUCUGGUCUCAAACUUGAGCUCUAAUUUUUUGGUGGUUGGCUUUCAUUCUUGUCCCCCAGAUUAUUUCUAUUUUUCUCCUUCUUCCUUUGGUAUAGAUGUGCGGAGUUAAUCUUUCGGAGCUUUGGUCCUUUCAAUUCAGAGUUUGUAGUUCUUUGCUGGUAUGUGCGCCUUGUAAGUGUUUGUUUAGGUUGUGAGGUGUUUCUUACCUCUUAGUUGGUGGUUGUGCUUCUGGUGUUUUAGGCAUCUGUCUUUCUGCUUCGUGGUGAUUUUGGUCUUCCGAUGAUUAUUCAUAUGACCCACUUUUUUGGUUUUUUGCGCUGGUGAUUGAUCGCGCUCCUUUGUGUUCGGAGGAUUUCUUUGUCUCUGGUUUUAUUUUUUACUAUUUUCUGACCUCUGCUUGUUUUAGCCAAAAUGUUCUUUGGUAAGAUGAGGUCAGUUAGUCUUUUUUGUUGAUCUCUUUUCAGUGCCAAACUUUUAUUAAGUUAGUGUUAGUAUGGUAUUUUGAUUUUUCUCUAUGAUUGUGGAAGUUAUAAGUUUAGAUUUUGUGUGUUUAUUCUAGUUUUUCUUCUUGGUUGGUUAUUUUAAGAUUUUAAUAGUUAAGUAAAUAUAUAAUUUGUAAAUAAAAAUAGAAAAUAUUAACAAAAUAAUAAAAUAGAAAAAAAUAUUUUAUUUGUAGUUAAGAAUAAACUAAAUA